ACGGAAAGAAGUUGCCUAGGUAUAAAC
rnacentral:sRNA from 1 species